UUUUACACUCGUCUCUCGUUUCAAGCAGCGCUCGCCGGACACACGCUCCAUUCAUCCCUGCGUCUUUUUUUAACCGUUGUGCGCGACUGGCGUUGCGUGUUUGUAGUCGUUCUCAGACGGGCAUGUCAGGCUCAACUUCCCCGCCUCCCGCGGCAGAGGCUGUGGGACCCGAAGGAUGUUUCCCCCCCGGAUACAAGCCUUUCAAACCCGAGGACCACGGCCUGGAGCGCGGGUUCCGUCUCACAGCAUUUUCGGACCUGAAAGGAUGAGGCUGCAAGGUCCCGCAGGAGGCUCUGCUCAAACUCCUGGCGGGACUGGAGACGGACCGGGCCGACGGGACGGGGAAGGCCGAUGACCAAGCACUGGAGUUCGGCCAACAGUUGCCCGGCCCCCGCCUCGGUGUAGGGAUGGACUGCUGUGUGAUUCCCCUGAGGCAUGGAGGACUCUCCCUGGUCCAGACCACAGACUUCUUCUACCCUCUGGUGGAGGAUCCUUACAUGAUGGGUAGGAUAGCGUGUGCCAACGUCCUCAGUGAUCUCUACGCUAUGGGCAUCACAGAGUGCGACAACAUGCUGAUGCUACUGAGCGUCAGCCAGAAGAUGAAUGACAAGGACCGUGAGCGGGUGAUGCCGUUGAUUAUUCAAGGGUUUCGCGAUGCGGCAGAGGAGGGAGGGACGUCGGUGACGGGUGGCCAGACGGUGAUCAACCCCUGGAUCAUCGUAGGAGGAGUAGCUUCAGUUGUCUGCCAGCCCAAUGAGUUCAUCAUGCCGGACGGCGCUGUUCCAGGGGACGUCUUGGUUCUGACUAAACCUCUGGGGACGCAGGUGGCUGUGAAUGCUCACCAAUGGCUCGAUCAGACUGAAAGGUGGAACAAGAUCAAGCUAGUCGUCACCAAAGAGGAAGUAAAAGAAGCCUAUCAGGAAGCCAUGUUCUCCAUGGCGACGCUAAACCGCACAGCGGCAGGCCUGAUGCACAAGUUCCAGGCUCACGCCGCAACAGACGUGACUGGUUUUGGGUUGCUGGGACACGCCAACAACCUGGCAGCACAGCAACGAAACGAGGUGGCCUUCGUCAUCCACAACCUACCAAUCAUAGCCAAGAUGGCUGCCAUCAGUAAAGCCUGUGGGAACGCGUUCAGCCUGCUGCAGGGCAAGUCAGCAGAGACGUCUGGUGGGCUGCUGAUGUGUCUGCCCAGAGAGCAGGCGGCCAAGUUUUGCUCGGAGAUGAAGAGCCAGAGCUCCGGAGCUGGAGGCCAGGGGGCGGCGGGCGGAGCGUGGAUAAUCGGAAUCGUAGAAAAAGGCGACCGCCGCGCUCGAAUCAUUGACAAGCCACGUAUCAUCGAGGUUCCACCACGAGGAACCCAGGCAGCAAAUCAGGACAACAACUCCACCAGCCCUGCUCCUAGCCCCAAAUUGUCAUAGACACUGCUGCCCCUCUGACACUGGUCGUGUGUGUGUGUGUGUGUGUAUGUUGUGUGUGUGUGUGUGUGUGUGUGUGUGUGUAUGUAUGUGUUGAGUGUGUGGUGCUGUCCAUCUAAUCUCCCUUUUCAGUCAAAAUGCUGAGAGCACACAGAUGAAAAUCACUGUCAUCUUUUCCAGCGGGAGAGGGGAUGGACAGCAUCCACUUUUAUUUAUCCAUUUUUGGAAAGAGCUGCUGAAAGGAGGCCUACCUUUCACCAUCUUGGAGUUAAAUGUAAGUUCAGGGUAAGGCAAGUGUAUUUAUAUAGCACAUUUAACUAACAAGGCGAUUCAAAGAGCUGUAUGUAAAAACACCAAAACAUUGAGACAAAGUCCAAAAGAAGUGCACUACAAAAGUACAUUUAAAACCAGUUCUAGAGUAUAGAAAAUAAAGGCAAGCUAAAAUAGAACAAGAUGUAUGUUGUGCAAAAGAACUAAACCCUGCUUCUUCAUGCUUAGUUUUUACUCUGGAGACAAAAAGCAGACCUGUCCCAGACGUUCACGAUGUAGCCGAAGAUCAGGAAUGCCAUUCAGUGCUUUAUAAACCAACAGUGGUAUUUUACAAUCAAUUCUUUGACUGUAAGUACUAUAUUGUACUUCCCUGAUUCUUUUUAAUUAGAUCUGCAUUCCCUGCCUUUCCUUUUUCCCUUUUGCCAUAUAGACAAUUGAUUUAUAUAACUUAUCUGAAUGUAAAAAGGACUUUCAAUUCUAAAGAGAAAACAUUCCAAUUCUUGGCAGUAAAUAAGGAAAAUUGAGUGUAAAUGUGUGUGUGUGUGUUUGAGUAUUUUAUUAAUCGGCUGGGGUGCUUUGCUGUGUGGAAGUGAAACAGGGGUUUUUGGUGUUUUUGUUUUUUCUUUUGGAAGUGGAUGAUGUCGAUGUUAGUGAAUGUAUAAUGUGGAAACGGUUUUUCGGUCCUGGCACCUGGCUCUGCCCACGUGGCUCAGAGGAAGGCUUGAGCAGCUUCCUUUGGACCAGCUGGGUGGUGUUCAGAAUGUGUGUCUGUCAGCUGAUUGGCUGUCCAGCAACAAGUCCCUCCCACCCUUCCUUUUAAUGAAGCUCUGCCUUUAAACCCCAGGCAACCGGGGCAGGUGGAGUGGAUGUUUGUCUUUGGAUUGGGGUCGGACUAAGACUGCUGGAGGUCUGAUGCUGUCUGUUUGUAGAUUUUCUGCUUUUCACAAUCAAUAAACCAUAAUCAUCAACUCA